rnacentral:rRNA from 1 species
AGAGAUUGAACAUAAGAGUUUGAUCCUGGCUCAGAUUGAACGCUGGCGGCAUGCUUUACACAUGCAAGUCGGACGGCAGCACAGAGAAGCUUGCUUCUCGGGUGGCGAGUGGCGAACGGGUGAGUAACAUAUCGGAACGUACCGAGUAGUGGGGGAUAACUGAUCGAAAGAUCAGCUAAUACCGCAUACGUCUUGAGAGAGAAAGCAGGGGACUUUCGGGCCUUGCGCUAUUCGAGCGGCCGAUAUCUGAUUAGCUAGUUGGUGGGGUAAAGGCCUACCAAGGCGACGAUCAGUAGCGGGUCUGAGAGGAUGAUCCGCCACACUGGGACUGAGACACGGCCCAGACUCCUACGGGAGGCAGCAGUGGGGAAUUUUGGACAAUGGGCGCAAGCCUGAUCCAGCCAUGCCGCGUGUCUGAAGAAGGCCUUCGGGUUGUAAAGGACUUUUGUCAGGGAAGAAAAGGCUGUUGCUAAUAUCAGCGGCUGAUGACGGUACCUGAAGAAUAAGCACCGGCUAACUACGUGCCAGCAGCCGCGGUAAUACGUAGGUGCGAGCGUUAAUCGGAAUUACUGGGCGUAAAGCGGGCGCA